GAUGAACGCUGGCGGCGUGCCUAAUACAUGCAAGUCGAGCGACCGGACGAGAAGCUUGCUUCUCUGAUGUUAGCGGCGGAGGGGUGAGUAACACGUGGAUAACCUACCUAUAAGACUGGGAUCACUUCGGGAAACCGGAACUAAUACCGGAUGAUAUUUUGAACCGCAUGGUUCAAAAGUGAAAGACGGUCUUGCUGUCACUUAUAGAUGGAUCCGCGCUGCAUUAGCUAGUUGGUAAGGUAACGGCUUACCAAGGCAACGAUGCAUAGCCGGCCUGAGAGGGUGAUCGGCCACACUGGAACUGAGACACGGUCCAGACUCCUACGGGAGGCAGCAGUAGGGAAUCUUCCGCAAUGGGCGAAAGCCUGACGGAGCAACGCCGCGUGAGUGAUGAAGGUCUUCGGAUCGUAAAACUCUGUUAUUAGGGAAGAACAUAUGUGUAAGUAACUGUGCACAUCUUGACGGUACCUAAUCAGAAAGCCACGGCUAACUACGUG
rnacentral:rRNA from 1 species